rnacentral:snRNA from 1 species
AGAUGUGAGGGCGAUCUGGCUGCGACAUCUGUCACCCCAUUGAUGGCCAGGGUUGAUUCAGCUGAUCUGGCUAGUUAGGCAGGUGUCCUCUUACUCCCUCACUGCUCCAUGUGUGUCCCUCCCCAAGCUGCGCGCUCUGUUGAAGAGGACGGCCUUCCCUGAAUAGAUACGGACCCCUGCUAGAGAAUAGAGUGCUCCCCUGCUAGAACCUCCGAACCUCCAAAUAAGCUCUCAAGACACCUGCAGACCUGCUUCAUCGCCUGUGAAGCACCCCCCCUGCAGGUGGCAGAAGCUGGGAGCU